UACGGGGGGGGCAAGCGUUGUUCGGAAUUACUGGGCGUAAAGGGCGCGUAGGCGGCCACGCACGUCCGUUGUGAAAUCGCCCGGCUCAACUGGGCGGGGUCAGCGGAUACGGUGUGGCUCGAGCAAGCUAGGGGGCAAUGGAAUUCCCGGUGUGAGUGGUGGAAUGCGUAGAUAUCGGGGAGGAACACCAGUGGCGAAGGCGGUUGCCUGGAGCUUUGCUGACGCUGAGGCGCGAAAGCGUGGGGGAGCGAUCCGG
rnacentral:rRNA from 1 species